rnacentral:misc_RNA from 1 species
CCAAUGAUUGGGAACCAGUUGAGGUUGAUAGAUCUCCUGGUUGCUAAAAUCAGAUACCCAUCUUUGUGCACCUUUUUUAUGUCUCUGGUGGUCGCAAGAGAAGUCUCUUAUUUGGAGGAUCUCUUCUAGUUCAUUUUGAUCCUCGGACAAAUGAAUGAAGCCACCAAAUGGUUGCUAUAGCACACUUUUUUGCCGUCCAAAAUAUCUGUCUAACAUUGAUUUGUGUAAAAUACAUAAAA